AUGAAAAUCAUCGGAUGGAAUUGCCGUGGCCUUCAUAAGGCUGCGACAGUUCGUGCGUUACUGGACAUCCAAAAGCGGAGGGCAGCGGAUGUUAUUUUCUUAUCAGAAACACAUCUUGAAGAAUGGGCUGCAGAAUCUUUGAAACGAAGGCUCAAGAUGGAUCAUUAGGAGGUUGUGGAGAGCGAUGGAAGAAGUGGUGGCCUUCUUUUGUUAUGGAAGAAAGAAGUGGUGAUUUCUUUGAGACAUAAGACACUUAACUAUAUAGAAGCUUUUGUUGGUAGUGGUCAAAAAACAUGUGGAGAUUAA
rnacentral:rRNA from 1 species